AACGAACGCUGGCGGCGCGUCUUAAGCAUGCAAGUCGAACGGCAAGAGAGGAGCUUGCUUCUCUCCUAGAGUGGCGGACUGGUGAGGAACACGUGGGUAAUCUACCCUUAAGAUGGGGAUAGCUGCUAGAAAUAGCAGGUAAUACCGAAUACACUCGGCAUAUCACAAGAGAUGUUGAGGAAAGGAAGCUACGGCUUCGCUUGAGGAUGAGCUUGCGUCCCAUUAGCUAGUUGGUGAGGUAAAGGCCCACCAAGGCGACGAUGGGUAUCCGGCCUGAGAGGGUGAACGGACACAUUGGGACUGAGAUACGGCCCAAACUCCUACGGGAGGCAGCAGCUAAGAAUAUUCCGCAAUGGACGGAAGUCUGACGGAGCGACGCCGCGUGGAUGAAGAAGGCUGAAAAGUUGUAAAAUCCUUUUGUUGAUGAAGAAUAAGGGUGAGAGGGAAUGCUCAUCUGAUGACGGUAAUCGACGAAUAAGCCCCGGCUAAUUACGUGCCAGCAGCCGCGGUAACACGUAAGGUGCGAGCGUUGUUCGGAAUUAUUGGGCGUAAAGGGCAUGUAGGCGGAUAGGCAAGCUUGGUGUGAAAUGUUACAGCUUAACUGUGAGACAGCAUUGAGAACUGCAGAUCUUGAAUUACUGAAGGGUAACCAGAAUUCCACGUGUAGGGGUGAAAUCUGUAGAUAUGUGGAAGAAUACCAAUGGCGAAGGCAGGUUACCGGCAGAUAAUUGACGCUGAGGUGCGAAAGUGCGGGGAGCGAACAGG
rnacentral:rRNA from 1 species